CGACAAUCUGCCCCCCGGCCCGGGAUAGCCCAGGGAAACCUGGAUUAAUACCGGAUGAGACGGGACCCGCGAAGGCGGGACCCGGGAAAGGCGCUGCGGCGCCGCCGGGGGAUGAGUCUGCGUCCCAGUUAGCUAGACGCGGGGUAACGGCCCACCGUGGCGACGAUGGGUAGCCGGCCUGAGAGGGUGGACGGCCACAUUGGAACUGAGACACGGUCCAGACUCCUACGGGAGGCAGCAGCUAAGAAUCUUCCGCAAUGGGCGAAAGCCUGACGGAAGCGACGCCGCGUGAACGAAGAAGGCCGUGAGGUUGUAAAGUUCUUUUCGGGAGGGGGAACAACCGUGGCAGGGAAUGGCCGCGGGAUGACGUGAAUCCCGGAAUAAGCCCCGGCUAACUACGUGCCAGCCGCCGC
rnacentral:rRNA from 1 species